CCUACGGGUGGCAGCAGUGAGGAAUAUUGGUCAAUGGGAGGAAUCCUGAACCAGCCAUGCCGCGUGAAGGACGAAGGCUUUACGAGUUGUAAACUGCUUUUGUACCGGGGUAAAAUGCCUUACGUGAAGGGUUUUGAAAGUACGGUACGAAUAAGGAACGGAUAACUCCGUGCCAGCAGCCGCGGUAAUACGGAGGAUCCGAGCGUUAUCCGGAUUCAUUGGGUUUAAAGGGUGCGUAGGUUGUUUUAUAAGUUAGCGGUGAAAUACCGAUGCUCAACAUCGGGGCUGCCGCUAAUACUGUAGGACUAGAGAUCGGAUGCGGCAGGCGGAAUGUGUAGUGUAGCGGUGAAAUGCAUAGAUAGUACGCAGAACACCAAUUGCGAAGGCAGCUUGCUAGGCCGGAUCUGACACUGAUGCACGAAAGCGUGGGGAUCGAACAGGAUUAGAUACCCUUGUAGUC
rnacentral:rRNA from 1 species